GAGAAGAGAAACUAUGGAAAAAUUUUUCCAAGAGGGAGAAAGAAGAGAGAACCAAGAGGAAAAGCUAGGACAAAGUUCAAGCUUUAUACAACCUCAAAGAAGGGCCACGGUUUGGAAGAGGAAAAAGAGCCAAGUAAAGGUAGUUUUACAUCCUAUUUAUAAGUGUUACAUACAUGUUCAUUUUAUGCUAUGUAUGCUUUAUUUUAUGCCAUGAUGCCUCCAUGAUUUUUAUGUUAUGAUGUUGAUACAUGGAGAUGAUAUGCUAUGUCAUGAUAUGAUAAUGUUAUGUGUUUAAAUUCCAUGGCAAGUCACAUGUUUAUGUGUAUGUUUGCACAUAGCUAAAUGACAUGUUAAGUUGUAACCAUAAUUGUGAUGUAUUACUACUAAGAUUCCCAAGAAUCUUACCCCCCAUAUUUAACAAAACCCUAGGGCCUUCACUAGCCAAGAGCAAGGGCAAAGAGGUGGCCAAGAAGAAAAGGUAAAGUAUCUUGAAGAAGUUGGAAAUUCAAGAAGACAUAGAAAAACCCUAUUUGCAAAGUUAUGUAAUUAAAGUAUGUUUUAGGGUUUAUGUCUUCAUGCAUGGUAGAAAAGCAUGCUAGAUGUUAUUAUGAAGUUAUUUGCAUGCUUA